rnacentral:rRNA from 1 species
UACGUAGGGUGCGAGCGUUAAUCGGAAUUACUGGGCGUAAAGCGUGCGCAGGCGGUUUUGUAAGUCAGAUGUGAAAUCCCCGAGCUCAACUUGGGAACUGCGUUUGAAACUACAAGACUAGAGUACGGCAGAGGGGGGUAGAAUUCCACGUGUAGCAGUGAAAUGCGUAGAUAUGUGGAGGAAUACCGAUGGCGAAGGCAGCCCCCUGGGUCGAUACUGACGCUCAUGCACGAAAGCGUGGGGAGCAAACAGG